CAGUAGCCGCGGGAAAACGAGGGGUGCAAGCGUUAUUCGGAUUGAUUGGGUGUAAAGGGUGCGCAGACGGCUUAUUAAGUCACUUGUUAAAUUCUUCGGCCUAACUGAAGGUCUGCAAGUGAUACUGAUGAGCUAGAGGGUGGAAGAGAGAAGUGGAAUUCUCGGAGUAGCGGUAAAAUGCGUAGAUCUCGUGAGGAACACCAAUGGCGAAGGCAGCUUCUUGGUCCAUUCCUGACGUUCAUACACGAAAGCGUGGGGAGCAAACAGGAUUAGAUACCCCCGUAGUCCCUGUCUCUUAUAC
rnacentral:rRNA from 1 species